CGUUCCAGCGCUUGGUGGCAGCGUUUUGCCAUCUGCAGGGUGAGGGAAGGGAUUCCUGCCUCGUUCAGGUGCAAAAGGCUGCCUGCUGAAUCGCCUCCGAAUGAUGGCGAGAGUUUGAGAGCACAGCUGUGACUUUACGUCUGAGAACGAUGCCGUCGCUGUGGUGUUGCUUUCAGAGCACACCCAGUUCUUUCUCAAUAGGCAAUAAUGACUCCGGGCAGCUCAUUUAAGGCAGACGCUGCCCGCCCGCAUCGUUCCGCUCUGCACGAGCCGAAGCCACGCAAAGCAACACCCGUGCGGGCUGCGGCCGGCGGGGCUGGGAUCGGAGACGGCCCCAAUGACUCACAGGGCUGCAUGGGAAUGGAUGAAAGCAGCAGCACGCGUUGGAAGGGAGCGGUCGGCGGGGAGCGGAGCUGCUUGCCAAGUGCUCUGAGUCAGAGCGUGGGCCGGCGUAGGAGGCUGCAUCUGGGGGUGUCGGACUGAGACAGACGCGCAGAGAUGGCUGCAAUUAAGCAUGGAGCGACAUGGCUGCGGGAGUAACGCGCGUUUAAAGGUGCAGGCUCUCUGUGGUGGCUCCUUCCUGAUGCCGCGCUCCUGCUGAUGCGGGAGGUGCUGCGUGUGCAUGGGGCUGGGGGUGGCCAGAAGGGCACCGAGCGGGAGGGGGGGGGGGGGGUGAGAGGGGCACCAACCAGGCAGGGAAAGGGAACAGAGAGGGGGGAGGGAUGGGAAGGCAGGCAAGACGAGGAGGAAAGAGCUGCGGGGAGUGAAAACAGUUGCAAAGCACCCCCGUGCUUCUCUGAGAUGAGGGUUGUGCCCGGAGCUCACAGGAAGGCCAAACUUUUGGGGGUUUGCUUUUGUGUUUGUUAAUUAAAUCCUUUUAAUGAUGCCUAUCGCAGCUGCAUACAAGGCACCAGAUCCCACUUCAGACUCCUGGGGGAGACCAGGGUGGUCUGGUUCCUACAGCCAGGCCUUGGGCUGCACCUGUGCCCUUAAGCUGCAUUCAGAGCACUUGGGAUGAUCUCAGAUAGAGGGAAUGGUGAGGAUGGGAAACAUGGGAGAUGCUCACCUGUGCUCUCUGCCUUAGCUUGGAGCUCCCUCAUUAGGAAUGGCAAGGUGUGCUUGGUCAGCAUGUUGGUUGUUUUGAGACAGAUGUGCAUCACGUUUUGCUGAGCAACACCCCAGGGUGGUGUCAAAGCCCUGCUGGGGUGGCAGCGGUGUCCACGCAGGAGCACAGGGGCUCCUCUCCCCCUGGGCCUUCUCUUCUGUGGCAUCUGGCAAAUAGCUUUGUUGAAGAAAGGAGCACGUAAUGCCAUGGGGUUUCCUUCUGUGGACAGAUGGCUGCUCUGUGAAGGGAUGGUUUGUGAUUUACUGAUAGGCGUUUCUGAGAUGUCCUGCAGGCUGUGGGGUCGCUCUUGGAUGCGGUUGUACCGCAGAGCAGGGGGGAAGGCAUCACUUAGCAUGGAAAUGUCUGCAUGGCAAAGCAUGGGCUGGAAAGGGAGAGGAAACAAAUGGCAGCGUGACUUCAUGGAGGCAAAUGCCUGUUUCUGUCUGUCCUCAGAUUUGGGUGCAAUUGCAGAGUAUCAGAGCUCCAGGCUUCACCCACUGCCUGUGGUUGUCGUGCUGGCAGACCGGCCUGCUCCUCACUUCUCACACCUGUAAUUUAGCUGCUUCUCUUCUGUUUUAAUUACAGUGAUCACCCUGUCUGCUGUGCUGCUGGGGCGGGUGGCUGCUGGGUGCCUUUGGAGCCCACCAUACCAGGGGAGUUCAAGGGGAGCCUUGGAGUUGUCUGCUGCCUGCGUCCCCUGCAGCAGGUGUGUGGGGAGGGGGGAAUGCACUCCCUGCCAUGGGCAUCCUGGAGCUGCUGGUCGUGGGGCCAGUGAGAGCUGAGAUGUCAAGUUAGAAACCACUGCAGGGGGUGUGGAAGCUCUGCCAGAGCUGUUUCAGUACGAGAUGUUUUUCUUCAUCUGUUUGGUUUCAUUGCAAGUCUCUCCUCUUGCUUGAGGCUGGUGGGGGAAAAAAUCCUCUUGCUGUUGUUUUUUUACAGAUGAGUCAUCUCUAUUUCGAGGUGUUGCAGGUCAGCCUGAUGGAGCUCAUGCUUGUGUAGGUUGACCUGCAGGUGCUUGGCACUCUGAGUGAGGAUGCUGAACAUCAGAGCUCCCACACUCUCAUGGGGUCAUUGCAAAUCCAUUUGUAUGAUGCGUCCACCUUGCUUGUUCCCCUCCUGGAACAAAAACAAAGCAUCAGUUGACGGGAAUUGUGGAAGGGCUGCUCACUUGAGAAGGAAAAGGGAAAGAACAUCAUCACUGAGGAAGAUUUCCAUCCUUAUGAACUGUGGUGCUCAGUGUCUGUAUUGCAUGGCGUUACAGCUGUCCUCAUGUGCUUCACUUCUGCUCACAAGACUGCAUGGUCCAGCAGCUGCUUGCCUGGACAGUCAGCACAGGCCAUAUGCCCUUAUUGGCAGCUGAGGGACUGAACCUGAAGGCAGGCAGUGCUGGCUUGUCCAGAGAUGGGAGGCGAGUCUCUGAAGCCUGCACUGCAACCACAGUGCAGAGUUCAUGAUUGUCAGUGCUGCUGAGGUCUGUUUGGCUGCGGUCAAUUUGGUCUCUGCUAAGGAAGUGGUGGCAGAUGUUUGGGGCAGGAUCCUGACACAGCUUGGAAGGGUCUCUUCCUGGAGAUGGUGCUUGGAAGGCAGUGGAAAUUAGCAGAGCUGGUGUGCAGCCAUGCUGAGCUUUUUGUGGUUAUGUGACUGAGAGCAGACUGGGGCUCUGUAGGUUUCCACUGAGGAAGACUAGCUGUUCAAGUAUCUUAGAACGUGAUGUAGUGCCUGUCUGGAACUUGGAAAUUGCUCUGAGAUGAGCAAUGGUUAUCUGACUGCUAUGUUUGCUCACUGUUCGCAUUUGGGAAAGGGAUGCUUUAUGAAUGCAGUGCUGCUGAAUGCAAAGAAACCCCACCUGGCAUUUGUGAACAGACCUGAAUAUCCUUGACUAUCCGGGUGCACAUCAGUGGUAGGGCAUUUUUGCCCUGUGUAAGUAAUGGUUGGCAUUAGGCAGAAGGGUGGCAUGUUCUGCUAGGGGCAUGGAUAGCCAAAAGCAGCUUCUUGGGAUGCUACCAAGGUCUGCUAUGAAGGUGCAAGAUACCUAUUGGUAGUCCCAGCCAUCCCCCAGCUGAAAGGCAGCUCUGCCUUGCCAUCAAGACCUCAGACUCCAGGUGGCUCUGAGGCAGGGGCAGGCUUGUUCUGGGUGCCCCUUGUUGCCCUGUGCCCCAGCAAGGGGAGAUGUGAUGUCAUCUGGGACAACAUCUCAUUUCCACGUGACGUCUGCUGGUAGAAACGUGGCAUGGCCCACCCUCAAAACCAGAUACCUGCCUUGUGUAUAUCUAUUGUACCAUAUAUGUUGGUACGAUAUAUAGUGCAACUCUUCCAGAUUGCCCAUGUCGGGGCUCUCAGUGCUCUGAGUCAGGAUUCUCACAGUUCUGACUCACCACGGCAGGCUGGAAGGUAUUUCUCUCUCCAACUGGUGGGCUUGGCUGGUUGUGCAGAAGAUGAGCUUUCUUGGAAGGUACAAACUAAACGAAUGGCUCUUCACGUUAUCCGGGUGGCAACAGGGAUUGUUCUGAAUGGGAACCAAUGAAACCCAGCCUAACGCCGCUGCUUGGAAGAAAGGCAGCCAGCUUUUUGCAUCCAAAGGUUUUGAACCUCACGACAUUUUAUUUGAUGCUCAUAAUAAAAGGAUAAAGCAUGAGGUCAGCUUUGUGCAACCUCUGCCCAUUGCGGUACCAUUCCGCUGAGCUGCAUUUUGGGAGGAGGUGAUGGAGAGCAGCAGAGCAGCCAGCCUUGUGAAUGGGGCUUUGCUGGUGGCUGUGUGUGCUGAGCAAAGCCCUAACAACAUCUGCUGUGCUGCAGGAGGGCACAUGGACGUGCCAGCUUUCUGUUCUGUCUGGGGAAACAAGGUUGGAACAGGGCAGGAACUGCAGGCGCUUUUAUGGGGAACAAGGAUGUAUGAAUCCAGCAAAGCUUGCUCUUAAAUCCGGGAUUGCUCUGAGACCAUCACGUGCCCCCAGUGUGCCCUCAGAGCUGCAGGUGUUGGUUUGCAGUGAGGCAGUGCUCUUUCAGUGGCUGUUUAAGCAGCGUAUCGUUCAACAAACAGCAGCUGCGUGCAGCCACAUCAAGCUAAAUCAUUCUUCUAAAAGGUUCAGUUGUCAGGUAUUCAUUAAGGUGGGUUUCAUGUUGAAAUGAUAGUCACUAAUACUGUGCAAAUAUCUGUGACAGCUCUCAGGUUUUUUAUGGUGCAUUGCAGGAUUGCCAGAUCCCCACUGGGAGGAAGAUGUUCUCGUGGGCCUGCAUUUCCUGUGGCCCUUCCUAAGAAAAUGAGUGCUGUACAUCAGUGCCACGUGCAGGAGGAGGAAUGGCUGUGCUGUAAGGCUUUCAUGUGAACAGGGUGAGGUGGAAUCAUAUCAUGGAAUCACAGGAUGGCCUGGGUUGCAAAGGCCCACAGUGCUUAUCAGUUCCAACCCCCUGCUAUGUGCAGGGUUGCCAGCCGGCAGACCAGGCUGCCCAGAGCCACAUUCAGCCUGGCAUUAAAUGCCGGUAGGGAUGGGGCAUCCACACCUCCUUGGAAAGCCUAUUCCCAUGGAUGUGGUGCAGGGCUCAGCUCUCUGCCACUCAGACGGGUGCCCAAGUGCAGACUUAAGCACCGCACUUCAGCCCAGAUAUUUCUGCAGAUCCUGGCCCUGGCUUGCCAGUGGUGUCGAGGAGCAAAUGGCUCUCACUGGUGAUGUGGGACAGCUCUUUGUGCUGCAGUGUCGAAGCUAUCAAUCAGAAACGCCAGCUGUGUCUCUUUAGGCUCAGCAGAGGUGAAUGUGCAGUGAUGGGCACAGCUUUGCGGAGGCAGGGAGAAAGCAGGCACUCCUUUGGGCAGCAUGGCGCUUCCAUGGCUUGAUGUGUUAUUUUCCCAUGGCUUUUGGGAAGACCAGCUGCCCGUUCAUGUUGCUUACCAGCAAAAGAAGUCACCUGAUGUUAUUCUAUGUACACUUAGGCUGUAAAUGGUGCCAUUCAGCACUUGCUGCCACAGUCUCCCACCCCAAGCUCUGGAUGCAAUGGAUGAGAGUGUUGCAGCCACACCAACAGGAUGCAAAAUGGCUGCAAUCAGCAGUGUUACUUAAAUCCAGAGGGAAGAAGCUGCUGUGCCCUCAUUUGCCCCCCAUCAAUGAAGCAGCUGGGCUGGCAUGGGGAGCUGCCAACGCCAUCAACAGCUGCUCAGAAGAGUUUGAAUGGAGUUUGUGUUUAUUGGAGAAACAGGAGGGACAUCCAUUGCUUGGUUUGCUGCUUGCAUUGCUGAAAUUGAGCUGUACGUCCUAUAGCAAAGCAUCCCAGUGUCGGUCGGAUGGUCCCUUUUCGGUAGGUUAAUGGGGUGCAGCCUUCUGUGUGACCGAGUAGGGCUGUGAUGCAGGAAGGAACGGAGUUGGCAGCGUUUAAGCUGGAAACCGAGCAGGAAAGGCAAUCCGCGAGCGCCCCCUGCUGGUCUAUAGAAGGAGUGCAGAAGGAAACGUCGCAUUGCUGGAGGAAAGAGGUAUUUUGGGGAGCAAAGUGGUAUUUUGGGGGAGAUGUCAUAUUUGGUGGAGAAAAGUGGUGUUUUGUGGGAGACAAUGCCACAUUUGGGGGAGAAAGUGGCUAUUUUGAGAAGGGAAUGGAAUUUUUGAAAGAAAAGUGCUAUUUUGGGGGGAGAAAGUAUCAUUUUGGGGAGAAAGUUGCUAUUUUGCAGGAGGAAUGUCAUUUUGGGAAGAAAAGUGGUAUUUUGGGGCAAAAAUGUCAGAUUGUUUUGAGAACAAGUGGCAUUUUGGGGUGCAAAUGGCUUAUUUUUGAAAGAGAAGUGGUAUUUUGGGGAGUAAGUGCCCUAUUUUGGGGAGGAAAGUGGUAUUUUGGGGGAGAAAACUUGAUAUUUUCAGGGGAAAGUUUAUAUUAUGCAGGAGAAUCUGUCCUAUUGGCUGGAGAAAAGUAGGAUUUUCAGGAGAUAGGGCAUUUUCUCCCCAAAAUUCCUUCUUUGCUCCAAAAAUAUGAUAUUUUCUCCCCCCAAUUAGGACAUUUCUCCUGCAAAGUACCACUUUUCUCCCCAAAAUAUGAACCUUGCUUGCCCAGAAUACCACUUCUCACCCCAAAGUAGGACAUCUGUUCACCAAAAUGUGAUCCUUCUCCCCCAAAAUGCCACUUCUCUACCCAAAUUGUAUAUUUUCUCCCCAAAAUACCACUUCUCUCCCAAGAAAUAGGACAUUUUCACCGCAAAAUACCACUCUUAUCCCCAAAAUAUGACAUUUUCUCUCCCCAAAUUAGAUGUUUUCUCUCUGAAGUAUGACUUUUCUCCAAAAUAGAUGCCAUUUUCUCCCCCAAAAUACCACUUUUUCUCCCCCAGAAUAUGACAUCUCCCACAAAAUACCACUUUUCUUCCCAAAAUAAGACAUUUUCACCCCAAAAUCCCACUUUUCUCCCCAAAAUAGAACAUUUUCUCCCCCAAAAUACCACUUUUCUCCCAAAAAUGUCUUUUUCAUUGCCAAAACACAACUUUUCUCCAGAAGAUAAAAUACUGUAGCCACAAAAUACCACCUUUAUCACCAGAAAAUGAGACAUUUUCCCCAUCACAUCCAAUUGUCUGCCCUCCCCUUCCCCAUCUCCCCUAUUAAGAUGUGUAAUAAACUGCUUGGACCAACACCUGAACACCUGCUUCUGAACUUCAUGCCAGGUGUGCAGAUAUCAAAGAACCUCCUCUUCCUCCUAGCAAUUGGAGUGAGGCAAUGUGUCACUGGUGGGUCACUUAUGAGUCGCAUAUGGGGCACUGUGGGUCAGUUGUGGGGCACUUAUGGGGCACAAUGUGUCCUUUAUGGGGUAGUAUGGCUCACUGAGGGUCACUUAUGGGGCACAGAUGAGGACGUCCUGGACACAUGGUUCUCCUCCGGGCCCCACUGAUCAUGCUGUGCCCCACUGAUAACCCUGAGCCCCACUGCUCCCAUUGCUGACUCUGCUCUGUGUUCCCAGCCCAGAACUGCCCACAGCACUCAUGGAGCACCUGGCGUUGGUUGCUGCCAGCCCAGGGAGCACAGGUGCAAGCAAUGAAGCAGGGGGUGGGACAGGGUGGAGCCAGGCUGCAUCCCACCCUGAGCUCAUGGAGGGGCUGGAAGCUGAAGGGUUUGUGCCUGGGGGUUGCUCUGAUGUUGGGUCAGGGGAGUGCUGAGCCUGUUGUUAGUUUGUUGUUAAUUAUUGAUUGUCUUUAUGUUUGUUUUCUGUGGAUGCUGAUGGCAGUGGUUUUUCUGAGCCUUGGAAGGACUCUGCUGAGGGGCUUGAAGGAUCCAGCAAGGAGCCAUAGCAAAGAACGGCGCUCUCUAGCCAUCCUUCCUGGUGUCAGGCAAGCUCUAUUGCUCUUCAAGCCUGUGUUGGCACUUGCGGAGUUUCUGUAGGCUUGGGCUCACCUUGCCUUGGUACUCUCUGAGCUUUCUCUGCUCAUUCCCUAGGCUUUCCAUCAACUUCUCUAGAGGUUUUCAAGCAUCUGUGUCCGUUGGAACAACAGGAGGUGCUGAAGAACUGCAGAGCAGUGCAAGGCCUCUGCUGUGGAUCUUGGUGCUGACAUUGCCAUUGCAACUGGCUUGGUGCUCCUCCUCUUUUGGAUCCCUUUUUGCCCUCCUCUCCUCUAUGCUCAUUUGCUCUCCUCUCUUGGGUCCCCUUUUGCCCUGCUCUCCCCUGUGCCUUUUUGUCGUCUUCACUGCCUUUUGAAUUUUAUUUCCCUGACCACCUGUUGGCCCUUUCCUGACCCCCUUUACCUUGCAUCACCCCUUUGCCUUUAUUUUUUUUCCAUCUUUUUCUAUUUAUUUUUCAUUUUCUGUAUCUUUUCUUACUCUUCCCAUUUCCCAGCCCAUUUCAUUUGCUUCUUUUUCCCUUUCAGGUCCCACCCACCUGCCCCCCCCCCCUCCCCCCCUUUUUUAAGUAUUCUUUUCCUUUGAUUUUUCUUACUCUAAUUUUAAUUUUUUUCCUUUUCUGUUUCUCUUAAAUAUUUGUUUCCUUGCUGGCCCAACGGGAACUGUUAGGUGUGGGCCUGAAGCAGUGAUGGAGCACCUGGUGGGAGUGUGGACAGCCCAGGGAGCACAGGUGGAAGCAAUUCUUCUGUGGAGUGAGAUGGGGUGGAGCCAGGCUGCAUCCCCCUCUGAGCUCAUGGAAGGGCUGGCAGUCACAGGGGAAGGAUCUGUGCCUGGAUGCUGCCAUUUGUGUUGUGUUGGGCGAGUCCUGAGCCUUGGGAAGGGUUGAGGAGUUGUUUGUUUGCUCAUUCAUGAUUGUCUCUGUGUGUUUUUGUUCGGGAGGUGGUUGCAGAUGCCAGGAGUUUUCCUGAGUGGUGCAAGGACUCUACUGAGGAUCUUAGUGGACCCAGCGAGGAACCAAAGCAAAGGAUGGACCCCAAUAUCCUUGCUGCAUGACGGCAGGCAAGCUCUAUUGCUCCCAGAGAGUGUUGUUGCUAUUCGGGCCGUUCAGUAUGAUUGGUAUCAGCUUGUUGGUCCAGCUUGACCAACACUCACCACGUCUGUCCCUGCACCAGCUGCCUUUAGGUGUCGAUCAAGUGGCAGUGGAGAGUUGUGACCCUCCCAAAGGGUGCAAGGACUCUACUGAGGCUCUUGGUGGACACAGCAGGAACCCACAGCCAGAGAUGGAUGCCAAGAUCUGCUUAUUCCUCUGUCUGGCAAGCUCUGCUGACCCCGGAGGUCGUUUCCACGCUUGCAGGGGUCCUAUAGGCUUGGUGUUGGUUGUUGCUUGUCCUCACCUUGCUGUCACCGGGUGUUCUUCUUUUGCCCAUUUUUAGGGCUCCCCAGUUCUGAUGGGAUCUCCAUGUCUUCUGUUGAUCCCAGAGUACUUCGAUUUGUUAUUUUAUUUUCAGGUUCAGUACCAUUUCAUGCUUUUAUGCUGUGUUUUUUCUUCCUUCCUUUUGUUUUACAGGCUGGAAAUGUACACCUGAUGGGAUCUAUGAUGACCCAAAUGCAGUCUAGGAAGGUUUGACCAAGUGUGGUGGGAAAGGAAGAGGAUUGGGGAUGUCAGCACCAGAUGCCGUUGCACUUUGUGACCUACCCGCCUUGCGUCUUUGAUGUGCCCAGAUCAUUGGAAAGGGGUAAGAGAUCUGUAUUUCAUUAUUAGAAGGUGAUCUCUACUUACCUUGUCUUGUGUCCAUCAGGUGGCAGUGGAGAGUUGUUGAGGGAUGGCUCCACAGCCAAGGGGGCCGUGGGUCUCUUGAACAGUUGUACAAGCAGAACAGGCCUAACAAUUGGUAGGAGUUACAAAUGGAAAAGUACUAGCUCAUUAUAAUGGCUGUGAGCUCGGGUGCUAUGUGCACAACCCAGGCUAUGAGACCUUGAAGCUGUCAAAGCAGGAAGAAAAACUGAGGCUUCAGUUAAGAUAAAGGGGUAGCUCUCCUGGGAAGAGAGAAAGACAGUGGAAUGGUAUGAAAACACGCAUGACCAAUGGUAUUGUUAGGUAGGAGGCUUUUCACAAUGCUCCAACCAAUUACAAGCUGAUGCAUUUGCUACAAUCUAUAUAUGUGUGUAAGAAGCGGAAAAUAAAUGGAAAUUCUGAUGCACUCAUAUUGGGUCAUGUCAUUACUCCCCACGCGGCUCGGCCAGCAAAUGGAUGAUUCCGGUUUUGAACCCUUGGGGGUCCACAACAUCUGGCACCUGAACAGGGACCUGAGAAACUGGGAUUGAAGUGAAUGCCUCUUUGGAGAUACAGUGACUGAAAUGUAAACUGUUGUUCUUUGACCAAGUGUAAUGGAAAAUGAAGAAGUAGGCUCCACUACAGCUAUCGUGAUUGGAGACUCCACUACCAGAUUCAAUUGGGCUUACAGCUCUUCCUGUGUUUGUGCAUUGGUUGUGCACUGACACUUGGAAAGGGAUAAGUGAUUAAUCUGUGUGCCCUUUGGCCCAAAUUUGAAAUAUUACCCGAUGUAGUCUAAGUCUAGCUUUUCCCACGCUCACCAUGUUUGUCCUCGCACUCAAUUGUUUAUUGAAAUAGUGAUGGGUUGUCGGUGCCUUGUGUUGCUGACAUCACACUUUGGAUUGGUUUUUCCUUCAUGGCUGAACAGCAUUUCUUGCCAUCGUGCAGAGUUUGUCUUUUUUGUUUUCAUGGAUUUCACCCAUUCGAUACUAACUGAAUGUUGGAUAAGCCUGCAGAGACAGAUUUGGGGAAUAAAAGUAGCAGUUUUGGAGAGUAGUGUCUGAGGGCUUGAUGGAUUGUUACAUGAUGUUUUUCCAGGUGGUUAUGUGUAUAUUACAUUUCUUUCAGAUUCGCUGUCCUAGUCGAAGCGGGAAGGACUAUUUUGAGUAUUUGUCACUGCCCACUUGGCAAUCACAAUUUAGGAGCCGCUUUUGUGGAUGCGUUGCUGCAGGGCAAAGAAGGCCUCAAACCCCCUUUGCAGACCUCUACCCCCAAGAGAGUUCUGAAACUUAUGUUAAGAAAAGAAAUUGCUUAAUAUUUUUCUGUCUUGUAUAGUUUUAACUGUUGCUUUAGCUUGGCCAGAAAAUAGGUAUGUAAAGCUAAUAGAAAAUCUUGCCAAAGCUUUUGGUGUUUCAGAUAGUUGGGUUUGUAUGUCUCUCCCAAGAAGUGUAGGAAAUAUGUCGAUUUACACAGCAGUUGCACUAAAUUGGACAAUACUGGAUUAUGUAACAAAUCAGAUGGAAAACAAUGGUGGAAACUGUAAAUGCGUG
ensembl:lncRNA